UACGUAGGGGGCAAGCGUUAUCCGGAAUUAUUGGGCGUAAAGCGCGCGCAGGCGGUUUCUUAAGUCUGAUGUGAAAUCCCACGGCUCAACCGUGGAGGGUCAUUGGAAACUGGAGGACUUGAGUACAGAAGAGGAAAGUGGAAUUCCACGUGUAGCGGUGAAAUGCGUAGAGAUUUGGAGGAACACCAGUGGCGAAGGCGACUCUCUGGUCUGUAACUGACGCUGAGGAGCGAAAGCGUGGGGAGCGAACAGG
rnacentral:misc_RNA from 1 species